GCUCCUGAGGUAGCCAGGGAUCCAAGAAAGGGGUGAUUUCCUCUAGCACUUUGUCAACUGGCAAGGGACCGAGGACAGAAGAGGCUACCCUCUCCAGUAGGGGAUACUCUAGAGGGCCCAGACUUAGCUCUAUCCUACAGGUAACAUUCCUGUCUUAACAAAGAGGCCCCGGUGCCUGUGCUGAGCUUCUAGAAUGCUGCCUCCAUGACUCACAGAAGGGAAUGGAGCCUCACAGAUUCAGAGCCUGUGAGAACCUCUGUUUCCAGGAGACCUCAGUAUGCAGUCAUCAAUUGCCAUUCUGAGGGUGUAUAGCAUGGGACUGAAGAGGGCAGUUUCUCAUACCAGAAAUUCAUGGGCAACUUAUGAUCAUCAUGGGUGGUCUAGAGAUUUCAGGAGGUAUGAGAGGAAGCUGCUAAAGCCUCUGGAGUAAAUGAUUCUCUGGGGGCAGGGGGAGGGGACAUUGAUGGGAGUGACUGUGGUAUUACAAUUUGGACAGAUUCUAGAGCUCUUUGUUAUAAGGAGGCCCCAAUUCAAGAUGGGUCAAUUUGUGAGUAGCAGCAUAAAUAGGAUUAAGAAAAAUUUGUAAAUGAGGAAUACGUUGCUUCCAGAUCCCCAAAAGGCCUAAAAGAUCCUGAACUUGUUUUCACAUUGUGCAUGCAGAGAGGAUCAACUGCUAUUUAUCAGCAAUGUCAGAGAUGCAGAAGCCCUUAGCUUACCAAAUAAUUUUCAGGAAUUUAAUCAACGUGGCAGGGCCUUGUACUACGUACAGGGAAAUGCCGAUUGCCUUUUUAUGAGCUCCUUGGUGAAAAUUUGUAUGUCCUCAACGAGUAUGUCAAAUGCACCUCUUCAGAGGAUGAUAUCAUCGCUGUGAUGUUCUAUCUGUGCUCCUGGAGGAAGCUGGAUGUGGUUAAGAUCUAGCCUGGGAAGACUGUGAGCAAUGGCAGGAAUGCUGAAGUACCACACGAGGAGCUAGGUAUGGAUAUACUGUGUCCCUUUGAAGGUGAGGCUGUUGCAAAAGUCACUGAACAGAAGAACCUAACAGUAAAACCUCAGACUGCAAAGUAUUUACCAGUUGCUGACUGCUGUAAAACCUCUGGAUGGAGGCCAGAACUGGCAUUCUCAACCACAGCUAAGCAAUAAUAGGGCAAUAGCCACAGAGUACACACCUAUAGAGCUGCCGUGGUCAUUCACGGCUGGGGCACAUUCUGACCGUUCAGGACCCACGUCACACUGGUUGUUAAUGAACUAGAAUCUCACACUGCUCAAUCUCUCAAGCCCAGUCUCCAAACCAUCCUGUGACGGCAGCAAUGAGGACGGCAGGAGCCUAUAGCUCCCAGAGAGUAGGGCAAAUAGCCCUUGCUUGAUUUCUCUCUCUGUCCUCCCACCUUAAGCCCUGACAUUGGAAAAAUCUAAAGCUCAGCUUUCUGGCUGGGGGAAUGCAACAGAGAAGUCCAAAAGAACCCAAAAGUACCAAGGAGAUCAUAGAAAGGAGGAAGCUCGGGAAAGCAAACUUUUACAGCUGUUGUAAACUUGUGGGCCCAUGCCCAAGGUGCACAGCUUAAAAACUGACACCUGCAUGAAACCUUCGUUAUUUGCUGCAGCUGCAAGAGAGUAAUCUCACCUUUUUCAAAAUCAUGAUGCACCUUCUACCUGUGAUUCUGUACCAAUUAUACAAGGAACUAUCUCACCUUCAUUAUUAAUAAGACUUCAAAUCCUUGUAAUGAAAUACAAGGGAUCUCUCUGUAUUAUUUCUUACAAUUGCAUGUAAAUCUACAAUUAUCUUGAAAAAAGUAUUCAACUAAAGAAAACCUUCACAGAGAGAAACGAGGCCUCCAACAGUGCUGGUGCCCCUGCCCCAUCCCACCUUGCCCCGUACAGCGUAAGGAAACAAUAAAUACUUGAGGAAUGACGGAACAAAA